GGAUAGCCAUGCGAGUUAACGUAGCAAUACGUGGCAUACGGCUCAGUAACACGUAGUCAACAUGCCCAGGGGACGUGGAUAACCUCGGGAAACUGAGGAUAAACCGCGAUAGGCCAAGAUUUCUGGAAUGAAUCAUGGUUUAAAUCUAUAUGGCCCCUGGAUUGGACUGCGGCCGAUCAGGCUGUUGGUGAGGUAAUGGCCCACCAAACCUGUAACCGGUACGGGCUCUGAGAGGAAGAGCCCGGAGAUGGGCACUUAGACAAGGGCCCAGGCCCUAUGGGGCGCAGCAGGCGCGAAACCUCUGCAAUAAGCGAAAGCUUGACAGGGUUACUCUGAGUGAUUUCCGCUAAGGAAGUCUUUUGGCACCUCUAAAAAUGGUGCAGAAUAAGGGGUGGGCAAGUCUGGUGUCAGCCGCCGCGGUAAUACCAGCACCCCGAGUGGUCGGGACGAUUAUUGGGCCCAAAGCAUCCGUAGCCGGUCCUGCAAGUCCUCCGUUAAAUCCACCCGCUCAACGGUUGGGCCGCGGGGGAUACUACAGGGCUAGGAGGCGGGAGAGGCAAGCGGUACUCGAUGGGUAGGGGUAAAAUCCACUGAUCCAUUGAAGACCACCAGUGGCGAAGGCGGCUUGCCAGAACGCGCUCGACGGUGAGGGAUGAAAGCUGGGGGAGCAAACCGGAUUAGAUACCCGGGUAGUCCCAGCUGUAAACGAUGCAGACUCGGUGAUGGGCUGGCUUCGUGCCAACCCGGUGCCGCAGGGAAGCCGUUAAGUCUGCCGCCUGGGGAGUACGGUCGCAAGACUGAAACUUAAAGGAAUUGGCGAGGGAGCACCACAAGGGGUGAAGCCUGCGGUUC
rnacentral:rRNA from 1 species